AGAGCUUGCUCUCUGGGUGACGAGCGGCGGACGGGUGAGUAAUGUCUGGGAAACUGCCUGAUGGAGGGGGAUAACUACUGGAAACGGUAGCUAAUACCGCAUGACGUCUUCGGACCAAAGUGGGGGACCUUCGGGCCUCACGCCAUCAGAUGUGCCCAGAUGGGAUUAGCUAGUAGGUGGGGUAAUGGCUCACCUAGGCGACGAUCUCUAGCUGGUCUGAGAGGAUGACCAGCCACACUGGAACUGAGACACGGUCCAGACUCCUACGGGAGGCAGCAGUGGGGAAUAUUGCACAAUGGGCGCAAGCCUGAUGCAGCCAUGCCGCGUGUAUGAAGAAGGCCUUCGGGUUGUAAAGUACUUUCAGCGAGGAGGAAGGCAUUGUGGUUAAUAACCACAGUGAUUGACGUUACUCGCAGAAGAAGCACCGGCUAACUCCGUGCCAGCAGCCGCGGUAAUACGGAGGGUGCAAGCGUUAAUCGGAAUUACUGGGCGUAAAGCGCACGCAGGCGGUUGAUUAAGUCAGAUGUGAAAUCCCCGAGCUUAACUUGGGAACUGCAUUUGAAACUGGUCAGCUAGAGUCUUGUAGAGGGGGGUAGAAUUCCAGGUGUAGCGGUGAAAUGCGUAGAGAUCUGGAGGA
rnacentral:rRNA from 1 species